rnacentral:lncRNA from 1 species
UUUUAGUGUCUCAACGACAUUUUGGUGUGUUUGAACAUGUUCUAGGUGUGACCUAGCAUGCUCUUGGUGUGUUUUAGCAUAUUUUGGGCAUGAUUUUGGUGCGUUUUUGACAUAUUUUAACAUCUCAGCAAAACUUUCAUGUUUAUUAGUAUGUUCUUGGCAUGACAGCAUGGUUUUUGGUGGCAUGUUUUGGCAUGUUUUAGCGUCUCAGCAGAAUUUUCAUGCAUUUUAGUAUGUUCUUAGCAUGACCUAACAUGCUUUUGUCAUGUUUUAUCACGUUUUGGGCAUAUUUGGGGCGUGUUUUAGUGUCACAGCAAAAUCUUCAUGUAUUUUAGCAUGUUUUUGGCAUGACCUAACAUGAUUUUGUCAUGUUUUAGGCAUGUUUUCGGCAUGUUUUUGGUGUGUUUUCGGCGCGGGACUCACGGUUAUCGUAGAUGGGCUGGGAGAGGACGGGGGGCAGCGGGUGCAGCCCCCCCGGGCCGUGCACCCACACCUGGAAGCAGAGCCGCACCGCGCUCAGGUCGUACUCGCCACCGCGCUCCUCCGCCGGCACUGCCGCGCACCAGUAAGAACCAGUCACCACCAGUAACCACCAGUCACCCCUGCCGCUGUCCCCCUGGCUGCUGGCUGAACCCUCCCAGUGCUCCCAGUAACCUCUCGGGGCUUCCAGUAAGCUCCCAGUAAGCUCCUGCGGUUCUCAGUAACCUCCCACUGCUCCCAGUAAGCUCCCAGUGCUCCUACUGAUCCCUCCCAGUAACCUCCCAGUAACUCCCAGUACCCUCAGCACCUUCCCAGUAACCCUUAGUAUAACUCCCAGUGCUUCC